rnacentral:tRNA from 1 species
AUCUUUUUAGUAUAAUUAAUAUAAUUGAUUUCCAAUCAAAUGAUCUUAUAAGUAAGAAAAGAUA